rnacentral:rRNA from 1 species
GGAUAACUUACCCUUAGGACUGGGAUAACUCUGGGAAACUGGGGAUAAUACUGGAUAUUAGGCUAUGCCUGGAAUGGUUUGCCUUUGAAAUGUUUUUUCGCCUAAGGAUAGGUCUGCGGCUGAUUAGGUCGUUGGUGGGGUAAUGGCCCACCAAGCCGAUGAUCGGUACGGGUUGUGAGAGCAAGGGCCCGGAGAUGGAACCUGAGACAAGGUUCCAGACCCUACGGGGUGCAGCAGGCGCGAAACCUCCGCAAUGUACGAAAGUGCGACGGGGGGAUCCCAAGUGUUAUGCUUUUUUGUAUGACUUUUCAUUAGUGUAAAAAGCUUUUAGAAUAAGAGCUGGGCAAGACCGGUGCCAGCCGCCGCGGUAACACCGGCAGCUCGAGUGGUAGCUGUUUUUAUUGGGCCUAAAGCGUUCGUAGCCGGUUUGAUAAGUCUUUGGUGAAAGCUUGUAGCUUAACUAUAAGAAUUGCUGGAGAUACUAUUAGACUUGAAGUCGGGAGAGGUUAGAGGUACUACCGGGGUAGGGGUGAAAUCCUAUAAUCCUGGGAGGACCACCUGUGGCGAAGGCGUCUAACUGGAACGAUCUUGACGGUGAGUAACGAAAGCCAGGGGCGCGAACCGGAUUAGAUACCCGGGUAGUCCUGGCCGUAAACGAUGUGGACUUGGUGUUGGAAUGGCUUUGAGUUG